GACAGUGAGUCUUCAGAACACAUGUAUGCUGAGAUCGAGCUGAAAUCUACAAAUGAACAGAAGAAAAAUAAGGAAAACAAAGAGAAUAAAAGUGAGAGUUCUGAAUGCUUUUACUCUAAACUCACACUGAAAACAGAUCAAGGUGCUGGAUCUAGUGAUGUGACGUAUGUUGAGGUGGAUUAAAAAUAUCAAGAGGAGAAACCUUCUGGUUACAAAAUUUGGUGGAUGAUCUAUCAUCUACAAUUGAAUUUUUAUUAUAUAUAUGUAUAUAAAUAUUUAGCAUGUGAUAGAAAAAAUAUAUUAUAAUGAUUUAGUAUUGCAUAUUGGUUUAUACAGUAAAAGGGUGAUCAUUUAUUGUGUGUGUGUUAUGUCCAUUUGAACAUAUUUUGUUGAUCAUGCAAAAAAAAAAAAGUGAGAAAGAAAAACAACACAAUAUAUGUUUAGCUAAGUCUAUUUUGUGCUAUAUUGAGAUAUUUAAUGUUAUAUUUCUGUUAAGGCUGUGACUGUAAUUUAGUUAUAGCUGUGUUUGUGUUUGUGUCUUUUACUCAGAUGCUCUCAAAAAUACUUAAAGUGCAAAAUAAUGUAAAUAUAGAGAAAAUCACCUUUAAACUUGUCCAAAUGAAGUUCCUAGCAGUUGAUAUUACUAAUUAAAAAUUAUGUUUGGAGAUAUUUGCAGCAGGAAAUUUACAAAAUAACUUCAUGGAGCUUGAUCGUUCCUUAAUAUCCUAAAGAUCUGGGCAUAAAGGAAACUGCAUUUUGGACUAUUUCUACAAAUAUACCUGUUCUGCUCAUGACUGCUCCUGCGCU